rnacentral:tRNA from 1 species
GGAGAGAUGGCAGAGUCCGGUUGAAUGCGCACGACUCGAAAUCGUGUGAGUUAGUGAUAGCUCCGUGGGUUCGAAUCCCACUCUCUCCGCCA